UACGAAGGUCCCGAGCGUUGUUCGGAAUCACUGGGCGUAAAGGGAGCGUAGGCGGCGUGGUAAGUCAGAUGUGAAAUCCCGGGGCUCAACCCCGGAACUGCAUCCGAUACUGCCGUGCUCGAGGGUUGGAGAGGUAGCUGGAAUUAUCGGUGUAGCAGUGAAAUGCGUGGAUAUCGAUAGGAACACUCGUGGCGAAGGCGGUUCUCUGGGACGGUACUGACGCUGAGACGCGAAAGCGUGGGGAGCGAACAGG
rnacentral:rRNA from 1 species